CUGGAUGCUGCUUUCUCAGAAAGAGACAUUCAUCAUGUUUGAAAAUGGAGAAACACUUGUUCAACCUCAGGUGUACUACCAAGGAGCUACAACGCAACUCCAAGAAAUGUGAUGUCUGAGGAAAAGAGGAGAAGCUAUCCAGAGGGGCAAUACGGAUGCAGCUAAGAUCCAUGCAGAGAUGGCCAUCCGUCAGAAGCAUCAGUCUCUUAACUUCUUGAGGAUGAGUGCACGUGUGGAUGCUGUGGCUUCUAGGGUCCAGAUUGCCGUCACUAUGA